GGCCGCCUGGUGAAAUGGCAUCGCGUCUGACUACGAUAUGUCUUUAGGAUUAUAUGUGAUCGAAUCAGGAGAUUGCAGGUUCGACCCCUGCGGUGGUCA